rnacentral:rRNA from 1 species
GACGAACGCUGGCGGCGUGCUUAACACAUGCAAGUCGAACGGAAAGGCCCUGCUUUUGUGGGCUUCUCGAUUGCCGAACGCGUGAGUAUCACGUGAGUAACCUGCCCUUGUCUUUGGGGUAACAUCACGUAACUGGGGCUAUGAUACGAUAGGAUCUCCUGCAGCACGGUGGGGGUUGGAAAGUUUCGGCGGUUGGGGAUGGACUCGCGGCUUAUGAGCUUGUUGGUGGGGUAGUGGCUUACCAAGGCAUUGACGGGUCGCCGGCCUGGGAGCGUGGCCGGGCUCAAUAGGACUGAGAUAGGGCGCAGACGGGUACGGGAGGCAACGGUGGGGAGUAUGACACAGUGGGCGGGAGCCUGUGGCGACGGCGCCGGGUGCGGGAUGACGGCCUUCUGGUUGUGAACCGCUUUCGCCUGAGACGAAGCGUGAGUGACGGUAAUGGGUAAAGAAGCACCGGCUAACUACGUG